AUUGAACGCUGGCGGCAGGCCUAACACAUGCAAGUCGAACGAGUGGCGGACGGGUGAGUAAUGUCUGGGAAACUGCCCGAUGGAGGGGGAUAACUACUGGAAACGGUAGCUAAUACCGCAUACCAUCGGAUGUGCCCAGAUGGGAUUAGCUUGUAGGUGGGGUAACGGCUCACCUAGGCGACGAUCCCUAGCUGGUCUGAGAGGAUGACCAGCCACACGGGAACUGAGACACGGUCCAGACUCCUACGGGAGGCAGCAGUGGGGAAUAUUGGUCAAUGGGCGUAAGCCUGAACCAGCCAAGUGGCGUGAAGGAUGAAGGCCUUCGGGUUGUAAAGUACUUUCAGCGGGGAGGCGUUACCCGCAGAAGAAGCACCGGCUAACUCCGUGCCAGCCGCCGCGGUAAUUC
rnacentral:rRNA from 1 species